AAGCCGCAUGACAGCCAAUCAAUCAACCGUCAAAUCAGACAUGGCAACUGUCGAUUAUGGCUCCUUCCAGUCCACGAAACCCCUUUGUCUGCGCUGAAAUUGUUUAUCUUAUCCCAGGCAAAGAAAAAAAGGGGAGAGUAUCUCUGGAGAGUGGGAUGGUCCUUGGUUUCCCCUUGUGUCUGUGAUGAGUGCUGACCCCUGCCAGCCAAAGACACAUACAAAUACCGAAACAUGCUGCAUGCGGGGAACAUAAAAGAGAGGAUGUUUAUGAUGGACAGGCAGCUUUUUAAAGAGAAGCAUCACAGAGUGUUGGAUGGGAGGGAUCUGAAUCGGGACGGCUGUGAUGUGACGAGACAGACA